rnacentral:rRNA from 1 species
CCUACGGGAGGCAGCAGUAGGGAAUAUUGCUCAAUGGGGGAAACCCUGAAGCAGCAACGCCGCGUGGAGGAUGAAGGUUUUCGGAUUGUAAACUCGUUUUGUUAGAGAAGAUAAUGACGGUAUCUAACGAAUAAGCAACGGCUAACUCCGUGCAAGCAGCCGCGGUAAUACGGCGGGUGCAAGCGUUACUCGGAAUCACUGGGCGUAAAGAGCGCGUAGGCGGGAUAGCAAGUCAGAUGUGAAAUCCUAAGGCUUAACCAUAGAACUGCAUUUGAAACUGUUGGUCUAGAGUAUAGUAGGGGCAGGCGGAAUGUCUGGUGUAGCGGUGAAAUGCGUAGAGAUUAGGAGGAACACCAGUGGCGAAGGCAGCCUGCUGGACAACAACUGACGGUGAGGCGCGAAAGCGUGGGGAGCAAACAGGAUUAGAUACCCCAGUAGUC